CCUACGGGAGGCAGCAGUGGGGAAUAUUGCACAAUGGGCGCAAGCCUGAUGCAGCCAUGCCGCGUGUGUGAAGAAGGCCUUCGGGUUGUAAAGCACUUUCAGCGGGGAGGAAGGCGGUGAGGUUAAUAACCUCAUCGAUUGACGUUACCCGCAGAAGAAGCACCGGCUAACUCCGUGCCAGCAGCCGCGGUAAUACGGAGGGUGCAAGCGUUAAUCGGAAUUACUGGGCGUAAAGCGCACGCAGGCGGUCUGUCAAGUCGGAUGUGAAAUCCCCGGGCUCAACCUGGGAACUGCAUUCGAAACUGGCAGGCUAGAGUCUUGUAGAGGGGGAUAGAAUUCCAGGUGUAGCGGUGAAAUGCGUAGAGAUCUGGAGGAAUACCGGUGGCGAAGGCGGCCCCCUGGACAAAGACUGACGCUCAGGUGCGAAAGCGUGGGGAGCAAACAGGAUUAGAUACCCCGGUAGUC
rnacentral:rRNA from 1 species